UAAUGGCUUCUUCUUUCGCCGCCGCUUUAGGGGCAGAUCAAUUAGUUUCCGUUGGCCAGAGCGUGUGAAAUGACUUUCAUCCAUGCUUUAAAAACAGAAAAUAUAUAAUAAUGUCUGGGUGCACAAUUGAAUGCAGUAUUAUUAAUACAGUCAAUUCAAAUUGAAAAAUAAUACCUGUUACGCGUCGAGUUGCAGAUUUCUAACAAACAAGGUCGUUGGACCGGUGAAGGACUACAUUACCCACAAUUCUGAGGGGCGCUGUUGGAUGCGCCAAUCAGAGACAACAGAGGAAUCGUGGGAAGGAACAGACUUCCAGGCGCGAAAUUCAACCUUUCCGCCUUUUACAUGAUCAUUUCUCUGUAUACGCACUCUUCAUUAAAUGUUUAGCAUAAUGCCGGGUUUACUGCAAGAUCUGCGGAAACUGCUCGAAAACGGACGAUCCAGGAAACAACACUUAAAACUGAUAAAGUGGCUCCAGAAAAGACAACUACUUAAAAGAAAAAUGAAAUGUAGCAAGUGCAGACACAAAAUGUCACUGAAACCCAGGACGAUGGCAAGAGAUCACUAUGCAUGGAUGUGUCAGCGUGCAAGGCACAGAAGUGAGAGCAUCAUGAAAGCCAUCCGUUUUAAGUCAAUAUUCAGCCACUCCAAAAUUUCCCUAUUUGAAUGGAUGAAGUUCUUAUACAGGUUUUCACAAGGUCUGCGGCUUCGACAGAUUGAUAUGAUUCAUGAUGGUAUUGCCGGAAGCUCUGCUACCUUAACGAAUAUGGCAAAAAAAGUGAGAGAUGUCUGUGUUACAGCAAUGGAAAGAUUGAGAAGAAGAAAGGGACAGCGCCUCGGAGGACAAAGAGAGUUUGUUGUGAUUGAUGAAAGUCACUUUAGACACAAAAGAAAGUUCUGCCGGCUGCUCCGCCAUCUUGGGAGGCUCAUACUCCACUGUUAUUAUUGUUUUCACAUGUAACGUUACUUGGUUUGUUGGAUAUAUGGAGAAAUUGAAAGUGAAACUACCAGCGCCUUUGCCAGAACGACUCCGUGUAAUGAGCGAACAUGAGAGCACCCGACUGCAGACGUCAAUAAUGCAGCGUAAUGGAAUAAUCUCCCGAUCAAACUCCGCUUCCCGAAAGUUAUAAACUGCCUCCGGAACCCAGUUAAGGUACAAAAAUCUAUUCAACAAAAAUAGUGAUGCACGCAGUGAAGUCUUUUUUCGCUCAGCCGAGCCUUCUCUGUUGCUGUGUGGAGCAGCCUGUGUCAGUCACCUCUUUUACCCCCCACCCCCCCGACUCCUGAAUGUCACUCACUCACUCACUCAUGCGGGCAUGCACUGCGGUCUCAUGAGAAAACGCAGCUUUUUGAUAUAAAGUUUUUCUUGUUCCCGAAUACAAAUAUUUUUUUAAGUAUUUGUUCGAAAUAAGUAUUAGUAAAAAACACGCUAUUUGUGCCUUUCCGAAUACCGUAUUCGGGUUCGGCUCCACCCCUAAUAGUUAUAUUACUUAAUCAAAAAAACAAAAAAACCACUCCAUUGAACGCAAUAGCAGCCUGCCUCCCAACAUGGCGGAGCAUUCAACACGGCGUGAUUGACAAGCUCUAUAGAACUUUGUUCACAGCUCCCCCAUUAGGUUGAUAAGCGCAAUUGUCUAUUACCAGUGUCGUGAAUAAUGCCGCUGUAUAAGCUUCCCCGUGGGCAGUGCAAUGCACGUACAUUUAUUUACUAAUCUGAUGAAACCGGCAAAUGCAGUUCAUCUCUAUUAGGAAACCAUGUGGCAAGCAGGGGAUGGGCGAGGCUGUGUGUACCGACCCGAACACAGAACUUACAGAGUGUGCUUGUAGCCGGUAUGAGGCUACUCAGGUAGCAGCGGCAGUAGAAUUCGUACAGUUAUUACUUGUUCUACCACUGAAAUAAUUUUAGAGACAUUGUUUUAAGGUCCAAAAACUACAAAGUGUUGCUUUUAAGAAAGUAACAUAACAACAAA